rnacentral:rRNA from 1 species
GGACGAACGCUGGCGGCGUGCUUAACACAUGCAAGUCGAACGGAAAGGCCCUGCUUUUGUGGGGUGCUCGAGUGGCGAACGGGUGAGUAACCCGUGAGUAACCUGCCCUUGACUUUGGGAUAACUUCAGGAAACUGGGGCUAAUACCGGAUAGGAGCUCCCGCUGCCUGGUGGGGGUUGGAAAGUUUCGGCGGUUGGGGAUGGACUCGCGGCUUAUCAGCUUGUUGGUGGGGUAGUGGCUUACCAAGGCUUUGACGGGUAGCCGGCCUGAGAGGGUGACCGGCCACAUUGGGACUGAGAUACGGCCCAGACUCCUACGGGAGGCAGCAGUGGGGAAUAUUGCACAAUGGGCGGAAGCCUGAUGCAGCAACGCCGCGUGCGGGAUGACGGCCUUCGGGUUGUAAACCGCUUUCGCCUGUGACGAAGCGUGAGUGACGGUAAUGGGUAAAGAAGCACCGGCUAACUACGUG